rnacentral:rRNA from 1 species
GUAGGUGGCAAGCGUUGUCCGGAAUUAUUGGGCGUAAAGCGCGCGCAGGCGGUUCUUUAAGUCUGAUGUGAAAGCCCACGGGCUCAACCGUGGAGGGUCAUUAGAAACUGGAGAACUUGAGUACAGAAGAGGAAAGCGAAAUUCCACGUGUAGCGGUGAAAUGCGUAGAGAUGUGGAGGAACACCAGUGGCGAAGGCGGCUUUCUGGUCUGUAACUGACGCUGAGGCGCGAAAGCGUGGGGAGCAAACAGGAUUAGAUACCCUGGUAGUCCACGCCGUAAACGAUGAGUGCUAAGUGUUAGGGGGUUUCCGCCCCUUAGUGCUGCAGCUAACGCAUUAAGCACUCCGCCUGGGGAGUACGGCCGCAAGGCUA